rnacentral:rRNA from 1 species
GUCGAACGGACAGGUAAUGAAACCUAGUGAUUUAUCUGUUAGUGGCGGACGGGUGAGUAACGCGUGGGUAACCUGCCGUAUACAGGGGGAUAACACUUAGAAAUAGGUGCUAAAACCGCAUAAGCGCACAGGAUCGCAUGGUCUGGUGUGAAAAACUCCGGUGGUAUACGAUGGACCCGCGUCUGAUUAGCUUGUUGGCGGGGUAGAGGCCCACCAAGGCGACGAUCAGUAGCCGGCCUGAGAGGGUGAACGGCCACAUUGGGACUGAGACACGGCCCAAACUCCUACGGGAGGCAGCAGUGGGGAAUAUUGCACAAUGGGGGAAACCCUGAUGCAGCGACGCCGCGUGAGUGAAGAAGUAUUUCGGUAUGUAAAGCUCUAUCAGCAGGAAAGAAAAUGACGGUACCUGACUAAGAAGCUCCGGCUAACUACGUGCCAGCAGCCGCGGUAAUACGUAGGGAGCGAGCGUUGUCCGGAAUUACUGGGUGUAAAGGGAGCGUAGGCGGGCUUGUAAGUUGAAUGUCUAAUCCACCGGCUCAACCGGUGAUCGCGUUCAAAACUGCAGGUCUUGAGUGAAGUAGAGGCAGGCGGAAUUCCUAGUGUAGCGGUGAAAUGCGUAGAUAUUAGGAGGAACACCAGUGGCGAAGGCGGCCUGCUGGGCUUUAACUGACGCUGAGGCUCGAAAGCGUGGGGAGCAAACAGGAUUAGAUACCCUGGUAGUCCACGCCGUANACGAUGAUUACUAGGUGUGGGGAGAUCANACUUUCCGUGCCGGAGUAAACACAAUAAGUAAUCCACCUGGGGAGUACGGCCGCAAGGUUGAAACUCA